rnacentral:rRNA from 1 species
AAUGUAGUCAAUCGAAAGUAAAGUGCUUAUUGUUUUCAUUGUUCAUGUCAAAUUCAGAAGCAGUUGGGGUGACAGUUGGGGUGACAGUUGGGUCGGCAGUUGGGUCUGAUGCGCCUACCCAACACCCUUUGAGCUAAUGCCUGCGACUGAUCACCGCCUCUGACAACGCCAGUAUUGUCAUUCUUUUGAUUGGUUUUGUGACCUCACCUUACUUGAUAUAAGGUUGUGGUUAUGAUAUAAUGUGCCCAGUGGGCCACUUUUGGUAAGCAGAACUGGCGCUGGGGAUGAACCAAACGUAAUGUUUACGUGCCCAAAUUAACAACUCAUGCAGAUACCAUAAAGGCGUUGUUGCUUAAAACAGCGGGACGGUGGACAUGGAAGUCGUAAUCCGCUAAGGAGUGUGUAACAACUACACCUGCCGAAGCAACUAGCCCUUAAAAUGGAUGGCGCUUAAGUUUAUACCUAUACAUUACCGCUAAAGUAAAUGAUUUAUAUUCAAUUUCGGUUGAAUAAAAUUUUAAAACUUUAGUGAGUAGGAGGGUACAAAUGGUGUGCACAGAAGUGUUUGGCGUAAGCCUGCAUGGAGCCGCCAUUGGUACAGAUCUUGUGGUAGUAGCAAAUAAUCGAAUGAGACCUUGGAGGACUGAAGUGGAGAAGGGUUUCGUGUGAACAGUGGUUGAUCACGAGUUAGUCGGUCCUAAGUUUAAGGCGAAAGCCGAAAAUUUUCAUGUUUAUUAUGAUAAUAAAAUAAUAUUAUUAUUGUAAAUUAACGAACAUGAUUAUUUUUGAACGAAAGGGAAUACGGUUCCAAUUCCGUAACCUGUUGAGUAUCCGUUUGUUAUUAAAUAUGGGCCUUGUGCUCAUCCUAGGCAACAGGAAACGACCAUAAAGAAGCCGUCGAGAGGUAUCGGAAGAGUUUUCUUUUCUGUUUUAUAGUCGUACUACCAUGGAAGUCUUUCGAAGAGAGAUAUGGUAGAUGGGCUAGAAGAGCAUGACAUUUACUGUUGUGUCGAUAUUUUUCUCCUCGGACCUUGUAAAAUUUAUGGUGGGGUCACGCAAACUCUCAACAGGCCGUACCGAUAUCCGCAGCUGGUACUCCAAGGUGUAAGAGUCUCUAGUCGAUAGAAUAAUGUAGUAAGGGAGUCGUCAAAUUAGAUCCGAACUUCGGGGAUAAAGAUUGGCUCUGAGAUUGAGAUAGUCGGGCUUGAUUUGAAGCAAUAUCAUGGUCUAUAUACUCAUUCUGGGUAAAUAGAGAUUCUUGAAUCUUGUUCCCCGGAUAGUAGUUAUGUAGCUAUUGUGGAAAUUCUAGCUAAUAUUAAUUUGAGUGUUGAAUUGCAAAAUUUUUCAUUCAUUUGAAUCCGACGUCUAAUUAAAACAAAGCAUUGGAUGGCCUAACGGGUGUUGUACACAAUAGUGAUUUCUGCCCACGUGCUCUGAAUGUCAAAGUGAAGAAAUUCAAGUAAGCGCGGGUAAACGGCGGGAUAACUAUGACUCUACGUUAAGGUACUAACUAUGACUCUCUAAGGGUGCCAAAUGCCCCGUCACCUAAUUGUGACGCGCAUGAAUGGAUUAACGAGACUUCCCUCUGUUCCCUAUCUACUAAUCUAGCGAAACCACAGCCAAAGGGAACGGGCUUGGAAUAAUUAGCGGGGAAAGAAGAAGACCCUGUUGAGCUUGACUCUAGUCUGGCAGUGUAAGGAGACAUAAGAGGUGUAGCAUAAGUGGGAGAUAUAAUUCGGUUUUACAUCAACAAUGAAUACCACUCUACUCUUAUUUUUUUCCUUACUUACUUGAUUAAGUGGAACGUGUAUCUAUGCUUAGCCAUUAUACGGAUAUAAUUUAUAUGUCUUAUGGUAUUGGGUAUUGAUGCAAGCUUCUUGAUCAAAGUACCACGAGUUUGUUAUAUAAUUGUAAACAAAUUUUUUAUGAAUUAAUAGCAUUUUCGGUGUUAUUUAUAUUUUGAAUUUGGUAUAACUCCAACACUCAGGUAUGAUCCAAUUCAAGGACAUUGCCAGGGGGGAGUUUGACUGGGCGCGGUACAUCUCUCAAAUAAAUAAACGGAGGUGUCCCAAGGCCAGCUCAGUGCGGACAGAAACCCACAUAGAGCAAAAAGGGCAAAUGCUGACUUGAUCUCGUUGUCAGACACAAAAGAGACAGCACAAAGCUCGGCCUAUCGAUAUCCCUUUUGGGUUUAAAGAGUGUUUUAACAAGAGGUGUGUCAGAAAGUUACCACAGGGAUAACUGGCUUGUGGCGGCCAAGCGUUCAUAGCGAACGUCGCUUUUUGAUCCUUCGAUGUCGGCUCUUCCUAUCAUUGUGAGCAAAAUUCACCAAGCGUUUGGAGCUAGUUACACCCAUGCAAGGGAAGU